GGGCGGGGCUAAGGGGCUGAGAAGAUGGCGGGUGGUUGUGUGGUGGACUGUAGGGUUGUCCUGGCGUUCCAGUCUGGGCUUCUUAACCGCGUGAAAUGUAGCAGUGUGCCGGAUUCUGCGUCUGGCACAGGGCAGCCCUGGCUCUGUGUAGAGACUGGGGGUGAGAGGCUGGAGUGCAGCCCCACAGAAAGGGAUGCGGGGGUUCUGGCUGAUAGCAGUUGGGCCCGGGGGAACGGCAUGGAGCUGUGAGGGGAGGGGCAGCUGGGGGUGAGGGAAAGGCUGUGUCUCAGAGGGCGGUGGGCAUAGAAUGGGCUGCCCAGGGCAGCGGGCACGGCUCUGAGUGCUGGAGCUCAUGGAGCAUUUGGACACCGCUCUGUGACAGUUUUGGUUGCUUCUGUGCGGAACCGGGAGUUGGACUCAGCCCCUUUGGGUCCCAUCCAACCUGGGCCAUUCUGUGAUUCUUUCGCAAAGCAGUGAAGCACAGAGGGGUUUGGGGGUGGAGGUGCAGCCUUCAGUCUGUGCGGCACAGAGCUCUUCACAUCUGGUUGGAGACUGGGAAUCACAGAAUGGCUUGGGUUGGAAGGGACCUCAAGGAUGAUCAAGUUCCAGCCCCCUGCCACAUGCAGGGCCACCAACCUCCAGAUCUGAUACUAGACCAGGCUGCCCAGGGCCCCAUCCAACCUGGCCUUGAACACCUUCAGGGACAGGGCAUCCACAGCCUCUCUGGGCAGCCUGUGCCAGCACCUCACCACUCUCAUAGUAAAGAACUCCCCCCCAAUAUCCAAUCUAAACCUUCUCUCCUUGAGCUUAAAACCAUUCCCCUUCUCCCAUCACUACCCAUCCGAGUAAAAAGUUCAUUUCCCUCCUUUUUAUAAUCCUCCUUUAAAUACUGGAAGGCUGCAACAAGGUCUCCUCACAGCCUUCUGUUCUCCAGGCUAAACAGGCCCAGCUCCCUCAGCCUGUCUUCAUAGGAGUGGUGCUCCAGCCCUCUGAUCAUCUUCAUGGCCCUUCUCUGGACCCUGUCCACCAUCUCUACAUCUUUCCUCUACUGGGAGCUCCAGACCUGGACACAGUAAGGCCCGCAGGAGUUCUGUUGCAGUUUUCUCUGAAGACCAAAGCCCUCUCCAGUCUCCUCAGGAGGUCCUGCUUUGGGCUUCGUGUCAUUGAAUGGCAUUUGGAAGUAUUUAUCAUAAAUCUCUGAAUGGGAGGAAAGAAACAAGUGGAGGUUAGGCUGACAGGAGAUGCUUGGGCUAAGUAUCUUGAUUUUCUUUGCUGUGGAGCUGCCAAGCAUGUGUGGGACUAACUCCUUUCCCUGCCUUUGGGAAUACAAAUACCAGCCUGACACUUAAUAUGUGCCCCAGCAGAGUGUAUUCAGUACCUCCUCUGAAAGCUGUUCUGCUCUGUAUGUGUAAUAACAUACUAAUUAAGCCAUGGGAAGUAAUGAGUUUGCGGGAGUUGUGGGUUAGUUCCUUAGAAGGGAAAAACUUGAAAUCAGGCCCUAACUGUUCAUUCUCAUACUUGUUCUUUUGACCCAGUGAUUAUCACUUGCAGAGUGGAGAGAGAGCUGAGAGAAAUUAGCCACAGCUAUGUUGAAAUAAUGUCAGUUUGGCAGUUAAUGUGCAAGAGUUCAUAUCCUUUCAGAUGGAGAGGCAUGAUGAGCCCUCAGAUCUUUCAUGAUCCAGAGGAAAUGAUCUAACCAACAAUGAAACGGUGGUGGGGUAGCUUCACCACUCAUCCAUAUUUGUGCCGAACUUGACAUUUCAGGUGUGAAACUGAAAGACAUUUUGGGUUUGUAAAUCCUGGUGAGGUUUAAGAAUGAACUAAGUGAUGACUUGCACAGCGUAGUCAGGACUCGAAGCUUUUCUGAGCAUAGCCAGAUACAGAAGUUGAGCUGCCUGCACCAUCUGAUAGCUAGCUGCUGAGUGACAUUUUGAGGGUGGCAGAUUUCAUUUUAGUAAAUAAAACCUUUUUGCUUUAGUGGAAAUUCAACAGGCUUGACACACACAGUCCCUUCUUUGGUGCAUUACUGCCCCAAACUUUACAACAAGGUGCUUUAUAAUAACACAGAGCAAAAUGCAGAAUCUGUCAAAAGGCUCUAAUUACAGCAUUAAACUACUGGAGCCAAAAAGGCAGCAUAUACUCAGAAGCUUCAGUAAGAGAAAAGAAGAGUGACAGAAUGGAGGGGUUAGCUGGCAGAUGACAAGGAGGCAGCAGGGAUCAAGAUGAAAGUAAUGUGUGCAGUGAGAUAGCCUUGUAGUUAGCAUCCCCAUCAGCCAGCUUUUCAUAAUUUCUAUUUCAUAAUGGCUAAUAUGGAGCUUUGAUCUCUCAUUCAUAAUAAUUUAGCCUGAGGAUUUUAGGUGUGUGUGAAGCAGUUUUAGGUAAAAACAGCCUCAGCACAUAUACUAGCUGCUUCAUGCAGAUUUAUUAUCGUUGUCGUCCUAAUUUGGCCAGUUCUUGCCUACCCUAUAAUUCCAAUUACUUAAUCUACCCGAGCAGUUGUUAUAGCUCUUAUUGCAAAGAGUUUCCUUACUGCCUGAAUUAUGUUUUUAUUAACAAUUAAUAAACUGCUGCUUUUUAGUUUCAUUUGCUGUACGGUCUUUGAGACAUCUGUCAUUUCUUAAAAUCCCUAAUAAUAUGCCCAGCCCAAUUGUUUAAUAUACUUUAUAAUAUAAAGUCAUUAAUGUUAACUGAUUGCUCCUCUUUCUAUAUGUUCAUAGCAAGGGAGAAGAAUUCAUACAUAAAUGCUGGCUAGAAACUAACCCAAAGUGCCAAUAUGAGUUAUGUUCAGAAUUUGGAAUCCAUGUGUAUUCAAGCACUGAGAUUAUAUUUAUUGACACGUUAUGCACAAAAAGAACAGGAGAAAGGGGACAUUGAGCUACAAAAGAUAAAUUCUGUAUCUGUUUCUUACACUGACUCUUCCAUUAAAAAAGAGGAAUAUCCCCAAACAGACAUUAUUCUUCAAAAUCCAAAUCAUUCAGAACAAAUUUCUCCUGCUGAUAUGUAGAGCUGUUGGCCAGCUGUGAUAGAGGAGAUGGUGGAAACUCCAACUAUUCUUAUAAUAACCAGGAAAAAAUGCAUUUCUUUCAGUGAUUUCCUUGUGUAAGUUUGUGUAGGGGCUGUCCAUGACUAAAGGCAGAGUCUGCACAUUCUCUGGUAGAAUUUCUAUGUGAUUACAGUUUUGAAUGGGGUAAACAAGCCCUUGUAAGCACUGGACAUUCUAUUCAGAAUUUUCUACCAGUUUUUACUGCAUAUCACAUAGGGUUUCUUUUGCCUGCUCUUUCCAAAAGAGAAAAGGUCAAAUGACUAUUGGGAAUAUGUAUGUGGGUUUAUCUGAUCUGUUCCCUCUUCUCAAAUGCUUUUAAACUCUUGGGCCAUUUUCAACAAAUUUGACAGUGGGUGGAGAUCUUAAAGAGAUUAUAUUAUGAAUAGCUUUGCAAAAGUAGAUGUUGGGAUAGGAGAGAGACUGUUAUGUGCUACUGAGGAAAAGCCUGUAGAACAAGUUCAUCCCACAUACCCCUAAAUUCAUUAGGAGCAUACUGGAAAGACUGUGGAGCUGUUGUGGCUAGUCUAUUGAAAACAUCAGUUCUGUGCUUCAUGGUAGGUGAAAAGGCAAAAAGGUUGUUGGGUAUAUCCGGGUAGGAACGAAAGAUAAGAUUUAGGUGUCUAGAGUGGAAUUUUCAGGCAAUAAAUUGAAAGAAACAAAGGGAAAUAUGUUUUCUCUUGAGUUAUUAUUGCGAAUUGCUACAAGUAUAUUAGGGAGGUCAAAAGUAUAAAUGUGCUCCUGAAUGGUUUAGAUGUGGAAAUGGAAAAAAUGUCCAUUGAGGCAUGUUUAGCAUAAUGCUAAUGCAGCUGCCAGCUCAGGAAAUCUCCAAGUAAAGGGGUGGAUUCAGCUAGCAGAUUAAGACACCUAAACUUGGGUUUAACUGCGUAGGUGUCUCUAUGUGAACCAGAUGUCUAAGAUCCCUUUAUGCUCACUAGAGAACUAACUUGGGAUUCAGUUACAUAAAUGCAGGCAGCUAAUGCCAUUUAAGGCAUUGUGGAGUUUCCUACCUGGCCUCCAGCUCAUUUUCCAUGAACAUUCAAGUCUCCUAAAAAAACCCACAGAACUGUCAUAUCUGUCGGUCUCAUGUGGGAGCCUGGUAUGUCAGACCAUCAUAGCUGUUACUAAGCUGAGCCCUGCUCAUAGUUGAUUCAGCAAGCUAUUCAGAUCACCGUAAGGUGGAUAUAUCUGCCUAUUUUUGGACGGCUGGAUGGCUCUUGACUUAUUAGCUGUAGUGAGUAGUUCUCUAUUGACUGCAGUAGAAAUGUAGACUAACGUGAAGACAUCUACGUGGGGACACUUGAGGCUAGAUGUCAGAACGUACAGCUUUUGCCAGACAGUACCAGAGGGUAAAGUUGCUUAGUUUUCAUUAUGCUGUUUCCUUAAGUUCCCUUAGCUAGUCAGACCCCUGAGAUGAUUUAGCUGGUGUUGAUUUAGGGGAUGAAGAUAGGAUACUACAUAUGAAAAACCUUACAACAUUCAGAUGUGACUGAUCAUAAGGAUUGCAUGAAAGCUGAGCUUCACAAUGCAUUGUAGAAUGAUGCCUCGAUGUGUAGUGAUGCUGAAUGCAGUUUCAUAAAUCCCUAAGCCUAAAAGAUGCCCGAUGGCUGAGAGUUCUGGGGCAGCUACAGAUGCUGCUGAUGAAGCCACUAGAAUAACAAAUUCUUAAGCCAUUAGGUCCUGUAACUGCAAGCAGUUUUUUUCACAAAGGUAAAUCAAAAUGAAUUUGGUUGAUGACAGGCUUCACACCCUUCUGUGAAUCAGACCAGUUGGAUCUUGUUAGAGUAGCAGAACUUGCCUAAAGAGAAUCUCGGCUAACGUUCAAGCUUAAAGUAGAAAGAACAGUAAGAAGAAAAGCCAAAUGAUAAUUAGAUGACUUUUGGAAUCAACUUCCUUCUCAGUCUCUUGCACUUGAAAUUAUUCGUAUUUUCUAGUUGGAAAGGCAAAACUUGUAGCACUACUGUGUUGUCAUAGAAUCAUAGAAUGGCUGAGGUUGGAUGAGACCUUAAAGAUCAUCGAGCUCCAACCCCCUGCUGUGGACUGGUUGCCAAGCACUCGAUCAAGCUGCCCAGGGCUCCUCUUCAUGAAAAUUGUAAUGAAACAAAUGUGGAAGUUAGAGCACAGAAAGAUGAAGCUAUUUGUUCCAAGUCAUCCAAAAGAGCAGCAACAAGGAGAAAAAUAGAAUGGAGUCCUUCAGUUCUCACUCUGUUGCAUCUCUCUGUCUUCCUAUUUUGAUGAAAAUGUCUGAAAUUUAGUUUUUAUAGAUACUAUAUUGUCAGUAUCUUACAAGCUGUCCAGAGGGAGCCUGACCAAACCAGGAGAAACUGUAAGGUCAGUGACAUUUGUGUAAACCACAUGAUGUACACUUUCUCAGAUCAUCCUUUUUUAAUGCAGCAUUCUUGUAACUCACUUCUUACUCUCUUCUACAUUUGAAAGCAGAAAAAAUAUUGUGUACUUUUGGCAGUGUAUCCCUUUCUACUGAAGCUGACUCAGAACAGAAGAAAAAACAGCUUUGUUUUUCCAGCUAUAGCUUUUAAAAAUAUUUUUGUCUGAUUCUCUUUAGUUUUCAGAGAAUGUCUCAUGGGUACGUAGCACGUUAUGUUACUACUUCGGUAUAUCUGUAUUAAACCUUUUAUCAUUCCACCUCCCUAUGAAAUGGGUUACAAAUGGGAAACAGUAGCACUGAACUUAACCCCCAUAGGAUAUCUCUUAAGCCAAAUUUCCACAUUGGAGGAGACUGUUGCCUUCUUUGUUCUUCCCUCAGACCACUAAUGUCAGUGAUGAUGAAUGAGCUUUGUGGGAUUGGGGCCAUCCUGAGGACAGGGGGGAAGGCUGUAACUCCCACUUCAACCUGAGCCAUGAGCACACAGUGCUCUUGAAAGGCAAAUCUUAGAUGAUUGGCAGUAGACAUCCGUAAGUGCUUGGAAGAAAACUGCCAGCGGACAUCUCAGUUAAGUUUCUUCCUGACUGGAAGAUAGGGAAUGUAGUACAGUAACAGAUACAUCAUCCAAUUUGUGGAACCGGGGAAGGCAUUUGUAAGUUAUGACCUGCCUUUGUUUUCUUAUGGAAACAGUAAUGAACAAAAGUAUAAUUAAUAAACUUAUCUAGAAAUUAAUGAUUAGCUUCCUUAACAAUGUUGGCCUUCAAAUUACCAUUAGGAGGCAUUUGAGCUGAUGUAUGUGUCUCAGAAUUCAUAUUCCAUGUUCCUUGCAAACCUUCCUGUUUGCACUGAUUCCGUUCAUGAGGUUUUCCUCACAGCUGUUAAGAGCUAGAAACCUUAUUUAAUAACGUCUAUGUGUGUGUUGUGUGACCAGGUUAAAGUCCCUGCUGCUAAAAGAAACGUAGGUAUCUCAGAUUUCCAGGUUUCUGUAUAGAUUUUUCUGAUGCAAUAAAAUGAAAAACACUCCUAAAGCAUUUGGACACAGUCCCAAACUGGAGAUGAACACACUUUAAACCCCAAGACAGUAUAAACAGAAAAAUGUUUGCUGUGUUCAGGUUUCUGUCCUAGAUUUACCCCGACAGUUCCAAAUUUGUUUUGUUUUCCCUGUCUAGUUUAUGGAUUUAAUUAAAUUCACCUGCAACUCCUUUAUCUAUAACUUGAGAUAUGUAAUGUGAGAGAAUCUCAUCAAUAUAACUUCAGAUGUGAUUUAGACUGUCAGUUUAAGAAAUAGCAUUGUAAUGAUGACCAUAAAUCCCCAGCUCUUCCAUUACUUCACUCUUUGCUGAGGAGACUCAAACUAAAACUUGCCAAGCAGGUGUCUCUUUGCACUCAGAGAGCUUAUGUUGUCUGCCUGUGGCUCAGACCUUGCAGCUCAGUGGUAAAUCGUGACUCAAGGGAGUCCCACAGGUUGUGUGCAGUAAGAAUGGCAGGAUUUUGCCAUUUACACACCAGUCAUGGAUUCAUGAGACUAAAAGGAGUGCUGCGUUUCACAUCUGUCAGAUGUGUAGAAUCUGCUUUAUCAUGGGAGAAACUUAAAGGGGAAACAGUACUUAAGAAUGAAAGAUUUUCAAUAAUGGUGAAAAGAUACAAGGUGUGUCACCAGGACACGUUCAUAGCUGCUCCAAUAUCUCAUCCAGUAUGAGGAUGACCGACUGAUUAGUGUGUGCCACUUAUGUCGGAUUUGAUACACCCAGAAAACCUGAGAGCUACAUUUUUCAUGUCCCUGCUGAUAAAGAGGCCAUUUAGGCCUAAAGCAGACUGUCUUGUCACUUACCCUUGGUAACACUUUCAUUUCUUUUCUCUUGUGGUAGGACACUCAGACUCAUGCUAAUGAAGGAAAUGAGAUCACUUCUGUACACUACUCUUCUUAAAGUGCUUAAUUGACUUUUCUAUUGUACACUUUGAUUAGAACAUCCAUGGAUUCAGUUGUGAAUUGUUGUUUUUUUCUUUAUGAGCCCCUUCAGACAGUUAGCUAAAUUUUUCAAAUCACAACUUAUAAAUACAUAAUAUGCAAUUCAUAAAUGAUGCAUUAUUAUUAUAAUCCCAUUUUAAAAUGCAACCAAAAUUAGCUCAUGUUUAGCAAUUUAGAUUCAAUACUCGAAGUUAGAUGUGUAUCAAAAUGGGGCGGUGGAGCUUCCAGAAAAAGAGUGCAAGGAACUCUCCUGUAAGUUAUAGAAAUUUGUCUCCUCGUAAACCCCUCACACCUCUGUUUGGCAAAGAGGUGGGUGAGUUUAGCCACUAGAUAAGUUGAAUGUUCCAAAAAGCUGUUUAUGCGUGCAGGGUUGUGUACAGGAGCAUACAGUUCUCAUACCUUUACAGCUCUGAUUUAAUCUCAUUUUAGGUGUUUUUACCUCCGUAAGAUUUUGAACUUGAGACAGAAGGAACGUGGUCUCGGUAUGAUCACCUAGAAUACAGUCCUUCUUGCAUUAAAACUACCUCAUAUCUGACACAACAGUACAAAGUUCAGGCAGUUUGUUGAAGGCUGAACAGGACUGUUGUGAUUUGAUUUUCCUUUAUCUUAUCAAAAGUCUCCCCAGAAGGCCAGGCAAGUCCAGACUGCUUGGUUUUUGAUUCUUUGCCUCAGUGUCUGUCUUUUUUUGUUUGCUAUUCUCUGGCUCCCAUUCUCUAAUCUUCUGUCCUGUUUUUCUCUGGUCAUUUUUAUCUGUGAACAUGUGUUAGGAAUGUUCUGGUUCAGAAGUCUCUGAUUUGCCCUAAUCUGUCUUGAAAUAAAACACUUCUCUCUCACAUUUCCUAGCCCUGCCCCUGAAUGUAGCCACACAAAUUUUGAUUGCUGUGUUUUCUUUGCCUGGCCAUUUUGGAUUCCCCGACGUCUCAUUUGUGAUGUACAAAAUGAGAUUAAACUUGCUUGCAGUUUCCCCCACUGUUACCAUUUCUACAUCCAGAAAAUGAGGAUUGUGUACUAGAUAGCAACUGCAUCUCCACAGGGAUCUCACAGCUGCAGUGGGAAUCAGUAGCUGAAAAAAUGGCUGAUUGCAUUUACGGCAUCUCUGACCUGCACAGUUCAGCCAGUUAUAAGUGGGGCUGAUGAGAUGUGGGUCAAAUGCCUGCCCUGAAUUGGUAUAAAAUAAAAGUUACGUUUCUUUCCUGUUCUGUUUUCCGUUAUGUAUGUCUCGUGGCUUCUUUUUCUCAAAACCUCUCUUUGGUCAACUUAUUUUCCAGCUGACCUUAUAAGACUGCAAUAUGCAUCUGAAAAAUCAAUUAAAAAAGAACUGAAAUACACUCCUAUUAUAUAUUAACGUGUGUCCUUGUAAAGAAAGACCGUGAUCUGGGUAUGCAAAAGCUAAUAAUUGACCAACUUGUGCUGCCAUAAUAUUUGAUCUAUUUAUUUUCUUUGCAGAAAGCAUGCAGAAUGCUUUGAAGGACCACUAAAGAAAAAAAAAAUAACCUGCAAAAUACUCCUACCAGGUUUGAAUAGGCACAUUUUGACACGUUGAGCAAUGAUUAUCAGUAGUUGUCACCAAGGGCUUCAAAAUUCUUCUAACAAAAGAGAAAAUGCAGAUUUUAUAGGUUAAUGGUAAUCCAAGAAAAAUAGGCUUACUUCGGCUUUUCAUAACAAUAUAGAAAGAGCUGAAGCUCGAACGUGAUAAAGGAACACGAAAAGACUGGUUUGUGGUUUUCUGUUACUCACAAGAGACAAGUUCAGCAUUUGAUUUCAGGAAGUUUAUAAGGGCUUUGCAAGGUGCUCACCAUUUGCACAAGUGUGUCAGCAAACCGUUGUAAAACUGAAACUUAACCAUGACAUUUUACUUGGUGGUGAGACUCUCAGUGACUUGCAGUGUUUGAGGGUCAAAAGGGACAAAGAGGACAAUGCAUUCCUGUGUCAGUACUGAUGGCAGAGGGCAUGUAGCCUGGAAUUCCCUGUCCAGGAUCCCCUGAGAACUGAUAUGACCUCCACCCUUGUUUGUCUUCCUUAAUUUGUAUGUUAAUGCUUCUUCAUUAUUCACUGAUUAUGCUCCUUUUUUCUCCAGCUAGAACUUCCUUGUGCCCUGGAAGUAUUCCACUUCCUCAAAUUUCUUGCCACAGGACUAUUUAUUUCCUAAAAUGUUCUGAGCUAUUGCAAAAAGUUUUCUUUCAUUACAGUAGUCUUUGCUAUGGUAAUUGAUAUUUGCUGUGCUAUUGCUGUAUAAAGCCAGGUGGUGAAAUCAUUUGUGAGUUGCUGCACUAAUGGUGGUGCCGUACCAUCUUUGGCUUGUGUCUCCUGGUGUGCAUCUCAUAAUGUUCAGAAUUAUCUCACAGUAUGUAGGACUAUCGUAAAAUGAGUCACUGCUAUCCUUUCCCAGUGAAUUUUGGAAGAAUUCAACUUUCCUUCUGAGCAAGCACAUAUAUUCUGAGAAAACUUCAGAGGACUGAAAAAUGGCUUUCUUUCUACUUACGGAAGUUAUCUUUCACUCAAAUGAGACAUCUCUUUAGCAUUUAGUUUAUUGCCCUAGGUAAGUUUGAUAGAUGUGAUACUUUCAGUAUUAACUUUCCAGCUGAGGAGCACCAAGAUUUUAAAGUCACAUUUCCUUCUCUGAAUAAGGGGCAAGCUGGGUGCAAUAUCUGAACAAUAUAAUGACAGGGAAGUCUCAUUUGUGGUAUCCAGCUGUGAACCCAACGCUCGUGUUGUCGUAAUCAAACCUUGUUGGUCCCUGUUCUGAAAUUAAUGUUUACAUCCUUUGUGGGAACAUAUUCACCUGUUAUUAUUCUAUGAUUCUAUGAUUAUUCACAUUGUAUUGUACAAUCCUUUUAAUGAAUAUAUUGCACAGUUGGAUUUUUUUUGGUCCCUGUUUCUCACUGAAAAUCUCUUCCUGGACUUCCUUGCUCUAAUAGCUAAGAAAGUACUUCUAAUUCCUCUAGUAAACAUGUAUAAAUCAAUUUCUUUAUAUUUGUUCUUUCAUCAGCUUUAGACUUCAGCUUAAUGAGUGGGAGCUGAAAACACUUUCAGAAGCUGAUGCUUUUUGAAAGACCUUAUAAAUACAUAAUUCUGAAGCUCUCCAGUUUUCUUCGUGGAGAAAUUGUGUUUCCUGCUGCCCAGCAACAGAAAUGCUUUGACACCCACAAAUUGUUUAAAGCAAUUCUUCAGUUUUAGCAGAUUGUUGCAAUUCAUCUUUUGUGACAUGAAAUAUCUAGUUGGUAUCUUGCAGAAGAUAUUAAAGAGGAAAGUAAUGGGGCAAUAAAUAAUUAAAUGGCUUACUGUGAUUAGAACAACUGAGACUUAAUUUUUUUACAGAUAAGAAAACAGUAUCCUUCAUUCAAUGUAACCCUUGAAACGAUAACUUUUUGUAUGAUUUCCUGCUAAUUAUUUCUUUGACCUUUGACGUGUUUGCUUGGCUAUUGGGGUUUCCUCAUCUUUUCUUCUAGUUCUAACAAGCAGAAUAUACUAAAAUGGCUUUCCUGAAGUUGUCCUAAUUCUUGGCACAUCUUUGUUCUGGUAGCACUAAGCGUUUUGCUAAGGGAUUCCUGUCAGAGUCUGAAGAGAUGGAUAAGAAAAUUUGUCCCUUCAUCUUCAAACAGUUUUAAAUGGAACGUCCAAGUUUCCACUCUCAGUAGUCAGGUCCUGUGGCUGAGUUGAAUGGUAACAAACCUAACAACUUGAAGAACAGUGUAAUCGUUUGGCCACAUACCAAGAAACUAAGUGCUAGGUAGCAAUUGCCUGCGUAGCACCUGAAUAACAAACAUGAAUAUUCCAAAAAAUAAAAGUUGUACCGAGCAUUUUGUUCUGGCUGUGAGAAAAUAGUUGUUAAAUAUGAAUUCUGAAGACUGGUUAAAAGCAAAACUUCCAUAAUGGUAAGAUUGCAGGAUUAGUCCCAGCUUUAGUAAUCAUGGCCUGCCUCCAGCAUGAAACUAUCUACAGUUUAUUCCUUAGAAGACACAGUUACCUUGGGGCCAAUUUUGUAUGGAAUGCAUGAGAUCAGUUUGAGGUAGAUAAGAUACAUAUGCACAUAUGUUUAUAUCUGCAUAUUGUAAUUUUGUUACUUUGGCAUUGCUUUUAGUACAAACUUACAUCUAUUUCUGGUGAUUUUACUGUAUCAUUAUUAUUUAAUUACUCUUGUAGUGAAUGCUCCUCAAAAUACUGCCGUGUUGGGGAUAUGAUCAGCAGUUUCCAGACACAAAGCAGUUGCCAGCAUAAUAUUCAAGAUAUUGAAUAUCAAUUCAGAUAACAGAAUAAUGCUCAGCACAGACGACUACUGUGUAACAACAACAAAAAACCCUUAUGCAUAAGAUGUUUGCAUCUCAACUGAUACAGGACUUUUUAUCUUAUAUAAAUUUUCUUCUUUCCAUCUUCAUCAUGGUAUUUAUUCUCUUCCUGUAUAUACGUUCUGUUCCUCUCAUAUUGUUUCUUGAUUUUAGUAUUCUGUCAUACAGCAGGGCUUUUUCACAUUAGGAGCUGCGUUCUGUCACAGGAUUUUAGCAGUUUGUGGUAUUAAGCAUCACUAGAUCUAGCUGCUUUGUGACUGGGGAAGGGGACAGGAAGAGGAGAAAAUAUGAGCCAGUGUCCAUUCAACCACUGCACUUUCAACCAGUUAUCCUGCUAAUUACAUGCCUGAUGAUAUUUGUCUUCAAAUUCAGCUUGAACACACCUCUCCCCUCAAGUUUGCUGUUAGCCUGCAAGUGGGGACCUCUCAGGGCUGGCAGCAGGACUUUUUAGGACUUCUAUAGUUGCUCUUUCCAUGCUAUUUGGCAACACUUUGACCAAGAGGCUGCCUUUCCCUGAGUCCUGGUUGGCAGCUGUCUGUCAUGUAUUUCAGGUGAGAGAUCUUCAUUGCUUGUUGGCCAGUGUUCUCCUUGUCUGACCCCGUCUCUCACCUGACAUCUGUUCAUUCUAAGCAAAUCAUUCAUAUCUCCUUCCUUCAUGGUUCCUGCAGGCAAUUGUGCUCUAUUGAUACUUCCUAUUGUUUUCCACCCUUCCACAGCACUUUGUGUGAGCUUCUGACCAUGUUCACUAAAACAAGAGAUCCUCCUGCUGUCCAUGCUUCUAUUUGUUUGAUUCAGUAAGAUGAUUGCUGAAUAGGAAGUAAACUAACUGCAAAAAUGGGGAAGUCAAUACGACUUAAAAUACCAUAACAACGAGACUUUGCUGUGGUCACCCUUCAGUGCUGAGUACCCAGAGGAAGACUGUUUUCUGCUGAAAGCACUCAGACUGGCCCAAAAUGGGGACCUAAGUGGUUAUCAGUUACAAAGUUGCACUUGUCCUUGUGGGGUCAGCACUGUGGAGUUCGUGGGCAAUUUUGGAAGCAUUAAUGUUGUGUAAGCAGUGAAGAUGGAAAGCAGACACGGCAGCUGGCAAAGAGGGAUCCUCCUGCCAAUCCUUGCACUGGUGUCCCUGCCAUGGUACAUACCCAUUGCAUGGGCCUGCUCAUUUCCAAUGAAGACUCUUGAAACUUCUUGAUAUCCAGGAUCAAUUCAUGCUGAAUCAGUGGGUGAAUCAGCUCCGGAAUGACUGACACACUGACAGAAAUGAUGUGACAGAGGCAGAGAGCUGUAGGGCAGGAUGGUUCAACCUGAGCAGCAGCUUUACAACAGCACUGUAUGCAGGUGAUAAGAGGGAAUUUCUUUCAGUAACCACUUGUGUUCCAGCUGGCAUCUGCCAGCCCAGAGGGAAGCACAGGCACCUGACCACACAACCUCUCCUUCAGCAUAAAGAUCUGUCAGUCUUUAUUGUUGUUAUAUUGGGACCAGACAUUUCUCUCAUUAACCUCAUUAUCACACCUUUGUUCAACCUGCUGUCCUGGAGAGCUUGUAGUUUUCCCUGAAGAUUUCCCUACAGAAGGCCAUUCUAAUUGCAGUUUUGCUGCAAACAGUGCAAUUCAUGUGUCUGCAUAUAUUUCCUCAUGUUGACUGUAUGUUAGAAAACCCUUCCCUGCAAUGUGAUGAGGUCUGCAUGUAGAAGGUGAGAGUGUGUACAGGGAGACGUGUAGAUGUGUGUACUCUCCUCCCUGGUUUCUGUGAAUGCAGUUCUCCAUCCUGCACUGUGUUAAUUACAUUGUGCUUUUGAUUAAAUUAAGGAGCCCUAUAAGGGGGGUCAAAUUCAAUCUGAUAAAUGUGUUGAGCGGAAAGGGAACAAUCAGCUUUAUGAAAGCUCAGGAAAUGGAGUGGAAAGUAGGAGGAAAAUGGAGGAUAAUAUGGAAGGAUGAGAACAAGAAGUGGAAUUUGAAGGAGUGAAGAAUGGCAGCAGAGAGGGACAGGAGGAAGGAGAAGGUGCAGAGAUGUAGACAGAAGGUAUGUAAAAAGAAAGUAGAGAAGUAGCUGUGAUGAAGCAUUGCGGGUGCUGGGAUACGGGAUGCUGCUAACAGCCAGACAGAUUCUUGGGCAGGUCCUUUUCCCCAUGCACCAACUACAAUUGAUACAACCAAGGUUUAAAGCAAAGUUUUAUGGUUAUUUCAUAAACUUAGGAAUGUACGGUGAGGAUUUAUAAUGGAAAAAUGGAUUCAAUUUAAGGAAUAUCUAGGGCAAGUGCUGUGAUGGGGUGUAGUCCAAAGCAUGUGCUGUUUGUGCUGAGCUGCAGGUAGGGCUUGUUAAUGCGGAGCACUUGCACUGUGCUAGGGAAAGGAAAGGUGGCCGGUGUGUUUGUGAUCCUCUUCUGCUGUCCGCCUCUGAGGAUACACAAAACCUCGAAGUACUUGGGGUCAUAUUCUCAAAGGUAUUUAGGUGCCCAUUAGCCUGUGAAAUCAGUAAUUUAAAUGCCUGCAUCUCUGAAAAUGUGGCUGUUGGCAGCUGAACGGACGUGGGAAAAAUGAUGUGAACUCUCAUAGCAAUCACAAUAUUGCUUAUCCGUGUGAUGUCUGCAUUUGCCUACCGAGUUUAAAACAAUACAAAGAGCAAAGCCAUGAUGCC